CAGUUAAAUCUGAAUUUCAGCGAAAUAACCAAAAGCUAUCUUAGUGUAAGUAUAUCCCAUGCAGUAUUUGGGACAUACUUAUACUAAAAUAGUUGGUUGU
rnacentral:miRNA from 1 species